UACGUAGGUGGCAAGCGUUGUCCGGAUUUACUGGGCGUAAAGAGCGUGUAGGCGGCCCGGUAAGUCCGCUGUGAAAGUCGGGGGCUCAACCCUCGAAUGCCGGUGGAUACUGUCGGGCUAGAGUGCGGAAGAGGCGAGUGGAAUUCCUGGUGUAGCGGUGAAAUGCGCAGAUAUCAGGAGGAACACCGAUUGCGAAGGCAGCUCGCUGGGACGUUACUGACGCUGAGACGCGAAAGCGUGGGGAGCAAACAGG
rnacentral:rRNA from 1 species